CAAAAGUCCUACUUUACCUUCUUCAUGAAUAGCCGCCAUAAAUUUCUAGGGUUCAUUGUUAACUGCAAACUCUGAAUGUCAACCAACAAUAGAGGUUCUGAAAGGUUGUAUGAGGUCAGGAAGAAUCUAUGCAUUCAUCUCAGUUCGUCACGUUUCGUUUGUGAUUCUUCUCCUCUGACCCGUUACGAGUUGCAUUGAUUCAGUGUCAUUAAUGACUUCUUAACUCUUUCGACCCACUACAAUCACGAUCACUCAUGCAAUUUUUCUUAUUUUCCUUCCAGGAGGUUGGUCUCCACCUAUAAAAAGGCCUUGAAAGACAGCCAAGAAGAAUUCAAAAGAAUCAUCAGAGCGAUCAGUGUUUGAAACAAAAUUUACACAAACAGAUAAGCAAUCUAUUUACUCAGAGAUAGUGUUCUCUAUCCCACGAUGAAUAGUGUAAAAAUAGUUGCAGUGGUAAGCGAGAUAUUGUGAAGAACAUUGUUGCGUUGUUUCCAAAAUGAAACACGACUAUCUGAGUUAGAAUUGUUAGCUUUGUUACUUCUGAUCUAUGCUAGCAGUUCUGACCAAUUAACAAACAUUUGCAAUGGUCCGCUUGAAUGUGAGAAAACCAUACUCCAUAUAUCUGAGCUAUUGUCACAUGAGAAGAAGAAGACUCUGGUUCAAGGGUCCGCUUGGUUUUUCAUGAUGUAAAAAUGUGUACAUUCGUAUGUUGACAUCCAAAAUUAGUACUAUAUAUUGUUAUGUUUUGUAUUGAUACAUUUUAUUAGCUAAUACAAAGAAGGGUUCAUUUCUGUUGACCAACAUGUGAAAAA